rnacentral:rRNA from 1 species
UACGUAGGGUGCGAGCGUUAAUCGGAAUUACUGGGCGUAAAGCGUGCGCAGGCGGUUUUGUAAGCCAGAUGUGAAAGCCCCGGGCUUAACCUGGGAAUGGCAUUUGGGACUGCAAGGCUUGAGUGCGGCAGAGGAGACUGGAAUUCCCGGUGUAGCAGUGAAAUGCGUAGAUAUCGGGAGGAAUACCGAUGGCGAAGGCGGGUCUCUGGGCCGAUACUGACGCUGAGGAGCGAAAGCGUGGGGAGCGAACAGG